UCAUCUAUCUAACAAGUCAGUCGUAAUACAGUCAGCGUUCGCAAUCUUUAACUUGUGUCAUCAUCUUCAAUUAUUUACAACUCAAUUUGAUAAGGGGACAAUUUUUAACCUGGAUACGGAACUUUGCCGAGGGAAAAGAUUUCCCACAAAACAAUGCCGUAGGACCAAACAUCCGAUUGGCUAGAAAAAAUAUUAUCCGUUAGGGAUUCUAUUGCCAUCCACUUGACUGGUAAUGGCUCCUGUUAUUAAAUCGGAAAAUACGUUUUGAGCGGCCAAAUCACCAUGCAAAACCUAUUGAGCACAAAAGGGAAGUUCAAAUUGUUUUUUGCAUUUAACGACAAAAUGCGCCACCUUUUUACUGGCCAAGAAUUACAUCCCACUAGAAAUUUGCAAUGACCAGGAGAUCAAGUCGCUCGUUUUUAACAUUUUAUUUAAAGUUCCUUCUGAAUCUUCCGUUUUGGUCUUGCUGUUAACUUCCUGUGCUGGCUCUUUUUGUAAUGAAACGGCAUGAGAAUUCGACAUGUUUUUUUGCAAAACGUUUUUAAUUUAAGGAAAAAAAUUUGAUAAGUUAACUCACGUUGAGAUUUCGAAUCUUCCUCUUUUAAAUUCACUGCUUCAUUCAUCCGGCCUUCCGUUAAAUCAUUUGAAAAAGGAUGACUUUCAAAAUUAAUAGGAAAAUGUAUUAAUAGUGCACCGUUUGAUUCGUAUUUAUUACUUUGCAGGUGGGGCGGUAUCCAUCUUGUUGCUGUCAGGUGGAAUAUUGACAACUCCGUUUAUUGGUUAAUGAACUUGUCCCGGUUAUUAAUUAAGUACGACUGUAAGUUACGGAAUCGGCAAAAAUUGAAUAUGACCAGAAUUUUAUCUACAAAUAACAAAAUUUUACAUGGUU